rnacentral:rRNA from 1 species
UACGUAGGUGGCGAGCGUUAUCCGGAAUGAUUGGGCGUAAAGGGUGCGUAGGCGGCAGAACAAGUCUGGAGUAAAAGGUAUGGGCUCAACCCGUACUGGCUCUGGAAACUGUUCAGCUAGAGAACAGAAGAGGACGGCGGAACUCCAUGUGUAGCGGUAAAAUGCGUAGAUAUAUGGAAGAACACCGGUGGCGAAGGCGGCCGUCUGGUCUGUUGCUGACACUGAAGCACGAAAGCGUGGGGAGCAAAUAGG